rnacentral:tRNA from 1 species
GGAGAGGUGGCCGAGCGGCUGAAGGCGACGGUUUGCUAAACCGUUAUGUGGGUAUUACCCGCAUCGUGGGUUCGAAUCCCAUCCUCUCCG